CACACAUGACUGCAACAUUGUCUGUUGAAGUUCGUCUGCCACAGUCAUCUUCCGUAUUAAAAAACUUGAAUUUGAAUCAAAAACAUGGGGCCCAAACCAUCUCCAAAGAAGAAGAAAUCCCCAAAGAAAAUAACCGAAAAACUGAAACUAGAAACAAAAGACGUCGAGAGGUUCAUUUUGUGUGUUAAAAAUCAUCCUGUAUUGUAUAAUACUACAUUGCACGAUUACAAAGACGGACAAAUUAUAGUAUGAUGUCUGUAAACCUAUGUGCAGUGUAGAUUGCGUUACGGAAAAACUGAAAUAGCGUAGCAGUAAGACUGUAUGCUGGUA